AGAUAACACAAUGCAAUGUGAAUAUGGUCAAAAUGAGUUUCACGAGCCAUUGAAGAGAUAUGACCAAGAAAUAAGUCCUUAGCUGAUAGUAGCUAUUGAUUUUGCAAGAUCUUCAGUAUCAAAAACAUCAACAUCGACUUUGUAACAACCCUAAUUUGUAAAUUCCUUUCGUUUGGUUUUAAUAAUUUUUUAUUCUGUUACUGCAGGAUAUUGCUGAAAUGUUUCAUCUUUGUGCCCUAAUUGCUAUGAAAUUUGCAUUGCAUAAUUUGAAAGAUUCAGACCAUCAAAUGAGGAAUAGAACAAUUAAAGCAUUGAUUGCUUUGGAAGUGUUGAAUUUAUCAGUAUUACUUUGCAGCGAAGAGUUCAUCCACAAACUAAACAAGGAUUGGAGAGAUGAGGAUAGACCUACUGAUGUCUUUUCGAUGUCUCAAAAUAUACCUGAACUUGAGCUUCAAAUUUUAAUGGUGGGAGACAUUGUGAUUUUGGUGGAGCCAGUAACAAGGCAUGUAGAAGAAAGGAGAUGUAGUUCACUGGACGAAAUAAACAUCUUACUGGAGUCGAGAACAUGAACAAGAUAGCAAUAUAUCACUUUCCGGACAUUUAGGUUGGGCCUGCUUUGAUUAUUUUGGUUGAACGUUCGGUAUUACAGGAUACUAGAGAAGAUCAUUGUUUAACAAAAUGAUGAAGGAUGCCACCUAAAGUUAAGUAUAUUUGGCAGCUACAUUUUUUCCUCUUACUGUAUCGGAUAUUUUUUCAAGUGCCAGUACUUAUUUACUUGUGAGAAUUUUAGGUCGAAACAUAGAUUAUGAAAAAUCAAGAGCUUAAUUUUUUUUAAAAAUAAUUAGCAAGAGGUACUCUAAAUGUAGGCCAGCAGUAUGAAAAGAAAAAAAAUUGCUUUCUAACGUAUGUGGUGUGUAUUAGUUUGCUUGAAUGAUGUGUAUAUAACAUCCUUUACGUAUUUAUUCUUUCCAAAUUUAUGUAGGACCAGAAAAUUCUAAUAUUGGUUGGAGCAAGACAACCAACUAGAUGCCAGAAGAGUGGCAACUCAGUUAGCAAUGAAAAUUAGCUAAAAAAGAGAAGAUAUUUACUCUAGCCAUGGAUAUGACCGAGAGAAUAAUUCAAAGCAACGUGGUAGAGUUUUGCUCUUACUACUUGUAUCUUUACGGUGUUGUUUCUUAUUAAUCUAAUAGAAUUUUAUUUUAGUUCAGUUACAACUUUCACUAUCGCUUACCUAAGUGAUAGAUCAAAGGUUUUGAACAUUGAAAUUUGGAAAAGAUUUUUACGAGGAGCAAA